CCUCAGCGCCUCCGGUCUCCCGCGGAACGGACACGGCCCAGCCCGGCCAUGGCCUCGUUGCUGAAGGUGGAUCAGGAAGUGAAGCUCAAGGUUGAUUCUUUCAGGGAGCGGAUCACAAGUGAGGCAGAAGACUUGGUGGCGAAUUUUUUCCCAAAGAAGUUGUUAGAACUUGAUAGGUUUUUGAAGGAACCCAUCCUGAACAUCCAUGACCUGACCCAGAUCCACUCUGACAUGAAUCUCCCGGUCCCUGACCCCAUCCUUCUCACUAAUAGCCACGACGGGCUGGACGGUCCCACUUACAAGAAGCGGAAGUUGGAUGAGUGUGAAGAGGCCUUGCAAGGAACUAAGGUGUUCGUGAUGCCGCAUGGGAUGCUAAAGAGCAACCAGCAGCUGGUGGACAUCAUCGAGAAGGUGAAGCCCGAGAUCCGGCUGCUGAUCGAGAAGUGCAACACAGUCAAAAUGUGGGUACAGCUCCUGAUUCCCAGGAUAGAAGAUGGAAAUAACUUCGGGGAAUCCAUUCAGGAGGAGACAGUUGCAGAGUUAAGAACUGUUGAGAGUGAGGCUGCAUCUUACCUGGACCAGAUCUCCAGAUAUUAUAUUACCAGAGCCAAAUUGGUUUCUAAAAUAGCUAAGUAUCCCCAUGUGGAGGACUAUCGCCGCACUGUGACAGAGAUCGACAAGAAGGAAUACAUCAGCCUCCGGCUCAUCAUUUCAGAGCUGAGGAAUCAAUACGUCACUCUGCAUGACAUGAUCCUGAAGAACAUCGAGAAGAUCAAGCGGCCCCGGAGCAGCAACGCAGAGACGCUGUACUGAGGCCGACCGGCGGGGCCGGGGACUGAGUCUGGCCCGAGCCCGCCGCUGCCUUGGUUUGUUGCCUGACUGCAAGGGGACCCUGGCUGCAGUAGUGAUCGCACCUCUGUUUUUAGUUAGAGUCUAAUGAAGCUCAUCUAGU